rnacentral:rRNA from 1 species
AUUGAACGCUGGCGGCAUGCCUUACACAUGCAAGUCGAGCGGCAGCGCGGGGGCAACCCUGGCGGCGAGCGGCGCACGGGUGAGUAAUACAUCGGAACGUGUCCUUUUGUGGGGGAUAACCAGUCGAAAGACUGGCUAAUACCGCAUGAGAUCUCACGAUGAAAGCGGGGGACCGCAAGGCCUCGCGCGAUUGGAGCGGCCGAUGUCGGAUUAGCUAGNGGCGGGGUAAAGCCCACCAAGGCGACGAUCCGUAGCUGGUUUGAGAGAACGACCAGCCACACUGGGACUGAGACACGGCCCAGACUCCUACGGGAGGCAGCAGUGGGGAAUUUUGGACAAUGGGGGCAACCCUGAUCCAGCCAUGCCGCGUGUGUGAAGAAGG